AGUGAACGCUGGCGGUAGGCCUAACACAUGCAAGUCGAACGGCAGCACAGUAAGAGCUUGCUCUUACGGGUGGCGAGUGGCGGACGGGUGAGGAAUACAUCGGAAUCUACUUUUUCGUGGGGGAUCACGUAGGGAAACUUACGCUCAUACCGCAUACGACCUUCGGGUGAAAGCAGGGGAUCUUCGGACCUUGCGCGGUUGAAUGAGCCGAUGUCGGAUUAGCUAGUUGGCGGGGUAAAGGCCCACCAAGGCGACGAUCCGUAGCUGGUGUGGGAGGAUGAUCAGCCACACUGGAACUUAGACACGGUCCAGACUCCUACGGGAGGCAGCAGUGGGGAAUAUUGGGCAAUGGGCGCAAGCCUGAUCCAGCCAUACCGCGUGGGUGAAGAAGGCCUUCGGGUUGUAAAGCCCUUUUGUUGGGAAAGAAAAGCAGCAGGUUAAUACCCCGCUGUUCUGACGGUACCCAAAGAAUAAGCACCGGCUAACUUCGUG
rnacentral:rRNA from 1 species